rnacentral:ncRNA from 1 species
CGGCCUGAAUAGCAAACCCGGCGCGAGCCGGCGACGCAAAGCCUCCGGUGUUGGCGGGCUCCCCUUUUAUACGAGGAGCCCUCCCAAGAUAGCGGGGUUGCCGGU